UGCCAGCAGCCGCGGUAAGACGAAGGUGGCAAGCGUUGUUCGGAAUCACUGGGGAUAAAGCGCGCGUAGGUGGCUUGGCAAGCGGGGAAUGAAAUCCCAUGGCUCACCCAUGGAACUGUUCUCCGAACUGCUUCGCUUGAGGGCGGGAGGGGAGAGUGGAAUUCCUGGUGUAGCGGUGAAAUGCGUAGAUAUCAGGAGGAACGCCGGUGGCGAAAGCGACUCUCUGGCCCGACCCUGACACUGAGGCGCGAAAGCUAGGGGAGCAAACAGGAUUAGAUA
rnacentral:rRNA from 1 species